UACAGAGGGUGCAAGCGUUAAUCGGAUUUACUGGGCGUAAAGCGAGUGUAGGUGGUUUGCUAAGUCAGGUGUGAAAUCCCCAGGCUCAACCUGGGAACUGCAUUUGAUACUGGCAGGCUAGAGUGUGGUAGAGGAUAGUGGAAUUCCCGGUGUAGCGGUGAAAUGCGUAGAUAUCGGGAGGAACAUCAGUGGCGAAGGCGGCUAUCUGGACUAACACUGACACUGAGACUCGAAAGCGUGGGGAGCGAACCGG
rnacentral:rRNA from 1 species